rnacentral:rRNA from 1 species
GUUGACCUCGGAUCAGGUAGGGAUACCCGCUGAACUUAAGCAUAUCAAUAAGCGGAGGAAAAGAAACCAACAGGGAUUGCUCUAGUAACGGCGAGUGAAGCAGCAAUAGCUCAAAUUUGAAAUCUGGCGUCUUCGGCGUCCGAGUUGUAAUUUGUAGAGGAUGCUUCUGGGCAGCCACCGACCUAAGUUCCUUGGAACAGGACGUCAUAGAGGGUGAGAAUCCCGUAUGCGGUCG